GAACGUCCUACGGGAGGCAGCAGUGGGGAAUAUUGCACAAUGGGGGAAACCCUGAUGCAGCGACGCCGCGUGGAGGAAGAAGGUCUUCGGAUUGUAAAACUCCUGUUGUUGAGGAAGAUAAUGACGGUACUCAACAAGGAAGUGACGGCUAACUACGUGC
rnacentral:rRNA from 1 species